rnacentral:lncRNA from 1 species
CCUCAAAUGCAAAAUGUGUAGGAAAAAGUUCCCUAAGCCUGUUCUUCGUCUGUCGCCAUGAAUGAUAUUAGUGUCUCUGCAGUCACCUGUAAGGAACUGGAGGUGGAGGUUUCCUGUUACCUUCCAUCCCUGUCCUCCCACCCACAUCCACAUCCUGCUCACAGCUAACCUAAGCUUUAUCUAAACUUCUUUAAUUAUCUCAUAUUUGUCCACUUUCUCCUGUCCUAUUUCUACUCCUUCUCCUACUCCCUUAACCAGUGAGGCCCUUGCCAUUUCUUGACUGAACUAUUUCAAUAGCCUGGGGGCUGGUGCAUCUUCCUCAAGCCUCAGCUCUCAUCAGUCUCACCUUACACUUGUUUCUAAAGUGAGAUUUUACAUAGAAGAUGACUCCCCAAAGCAUUUGAUUUGGGGGAACAGAUUUUAAAAAUCCCUCAGUAAUGCAUUACCGUCUCUCCUUUUAACUGUGCUACAGUGGUCCAGUCAUCACCCACCCUUUUCCGCCUCUACACGUGUUGUGAUGCUCUCUAAGUCUGUGAUCUGUACAUACUGUUUCUGUCAAAACCCCCAUUCCCACUCCUAGGGAUUCUUAUUUAUUUCCCACAUUUCAGUUUGUUAGUUAUCUCCCUCUACAGCUACCCAUAUUUCUACAGACAUAGAGCAUUACUAGGGUAAAAUAAACUUGAUAUAUAGACAAGAGAUACAAGAGGAAGAUUAGGUGAAGGUAACUGUAAUAUAGAAAGGCUAGACUAGGACUGGGGAUCAUGAAAGCUGUUAGGGAGGCGAGGCAGAGUACGCAUAAAAUACAAAAGCCAGCUCUGGGUAGAAAAAAAUAAAGGAAGUCUUAUUGUCUAAGUAUCAGAAUGGACCAGAUGUGAGAAAUGCUGCUAGGGGUCUGGGUUGUCUUAGGUAUGGGGGGGAUUAGGAAGAUGGGUAUAUUGGGUGGAAAGAAAACAGGGGAGACGAUUCCUUGAAGGGGAUGGAGCAGGUAACAGGAUCCACUUACUUUAUUCAGAUAGCUUUGACCCAGAAUCCUUCUAAGAUGACCUGCUAGAUAGGAUAAGACUUAAAGUGUGUAUAUAAAAGAAAGCUGAAGCAACAGGACAAGGAAAUGCUGCAGAGACCCUACCUUCUCUUCCUCCUGUAAUCAGAGAGCACUGCCAAAGCAGGACGGUUUCUUUUAUCUGACUCCCUCUGGAAGUCCUCACUUUGCCCUCCUCCUGCGGAUGUUUCCAGAGGACUCUAAAUCCAGAGCCCAAUAGAGCGUGGAGAUACGAGGGGCGGGGGUGGGGAGAAGACGGCGGCAGAUGACAGGCAAGGAUAGGUUUGGGAAACAGGAAAGAGAGGUUACCAGCAAAGCUCCAUGAACUGAGAGUGUCACAACCCCCCACAACCUCGUAGAUCCCCUCCCCUUGCCUUCUCCCUCCUUUGCAGUCUCGCCUUCCUUCUAUCCUGCACAUCCCUGCUCGGAGGAGAGCCUUAGGCUUUAGUCCAGGUCAACCUGGGCUUGUAUCCUGGAUCACUUAUGUCAUCUUGGGCAAUUUACUUCAUCUUUUUAAGCCUUAGAUUCCUAAUCUAUAAAAUGAGGUUAGUAUACCUCACAGAGUUAUUGAAAGGGAUAAAUGUUAUGAUAUAUAGAGGAUGUUUGGGACAUGAUAGGGUCUCAACAAUUCAACACUGUUUGUUCCUUUGUCUCCCGAAUCCAUAUAGGUAGCAUCACUCACGUCCAUGAUUUCAUAGCAGGAGCACUGAAUUGAGAGUUAGGAGCUUCUGGGUUUUAGUUACAUGUUUGUAACUGGUAUUCUGUUUAGUCUAGGGUUUUGUUAUAAAGCAUACAUUACAGAAGUUUUGAGGAUUAAAUAAGAUAAAAGUCUGUGAAAUGUUUGGCACCAUCUCGUCCCUAGUAAGCACGGUAAGUAGAGCUUAACAACGUGGGAUCCACCUUCAGACUAUGUUCAGCUGUGUGACUUUGAAAAAUUAUUUAUUUAGCACCUCUAUGCAUCUGUUUUCUUAUUUGGAAAACAGGAAUAACUCUAACGCCCAUCUCACAGAAUUGAAAAGAUUAAAUAAAUACAUGGGUGCAAAUUUCUUAGAACAGAACCUAGAACACAGUUUUCUCAAGAAAGGUUAGGUAGUGUUCAAGAAAUACUUGAUGAAUUUGAGUCUGUUGAGACUGGAGAGGAAUUAUUAGUGGGAAUGCUGGAUAUUAAGAGAAGGCGUUGCUGUGGCUGUGGUGAAGGCCAGUAGCUGCAGGUCCAAUUUGACCCCUAGCCUGGGAGCUUCCAUAUGCCCUGGGUGUGGCCAUUAAAAAAAAAAAGAGAGAGAGAAAGAGAUUCUUAUAAGUAGUUAGGAGGGAACAGUUCUCAAAGUUUGAGUAAUGAGAACAAAAUGAGUAUGAUUGGCAGGUAUCGUUGUCUGGAUCAGUGUGAGAUCCAUAAGCCUCAUUGACCCUAUGAUAGGAGCCAAACUCAGUUCUCCAGGAAUGGGAAAAAACUGAGGAGAUCAAGAGGAAGUCAAUCCAUAGAAAAUGAUGCAGCAGGGAGGAGGGCAGACCAGCUAGAAAUGCUCCUCAAAUAAAAACCUAAUUUCGAAUAAAACUGUAUAUGCCAUAGUCUUUGUAGUCGGCCCUACCUUGAAUAAGGAAACAUGUAUGUACAUAAAUUAUUUCUGACGUGCUAUGCUCUUAGUUGACAAACCAUCCAAGUCAGUGGUUGCUCGAAUUAGCAGUGAUUUGGCUAAUAUGCUAAUAUUGUUUAAAUGAGGAAUGUUUGCAAACAUUUAGAUUAAGAGGUUGAUGUCAGUUUGCCUUUGGCAUUUACUAUCAGCUAACAGACCACACCAAUAGGCUAAGUAGAACAAGCCAUAAUAAUUUCUCUCUCUCUCUCUCUCUCUCUCUCUAUAUAUAUAUAUAUAUAUAUAUACACACACACUGUUAAAUCCAUGUGAUCAACUCAACAUCCAUGAGGAUAGAGGGAUACAUCCUUAAGAUUAAAAAUUCAGGUUUAGGAGUUCCUGUUGUGGCGCAGUGGAAACAACACCGACUAGGAACCAUGAAGUGGUGGGUUCUAUCCCUGGCCUCACUCAGUGGGUUAAGGAUCUGGUGUUGCUGUGAGCUGUGGUGUAGGUUGCAGGUGUGGCUCAGAUCCUGCGUUACUGUGGCUGUGGUGUAGGCCUGCCGCUGUAGCUCCAAUUGGACCCCUAGCCUGGGAACCUCCAUAUGC